rnacentral:snRNA from 15 species
AGCGAGGCAGGCGCUUCAUCCAGUGAGGUCUUUACCGAGGAGAAGCUUAUUGCUGAUUGCAAAUUACCUAUAUUGCACGUCCUUGCUGUCACCAUGACGGCCUGGCAAUUUUUGGCACCCAUCCUUUGG